UACGUAGGUGGCAAGCGUUGUCCGGAUUUACUGGGCGUAAAGGAUGCGUAGGCGGAUGUUUAAGUGAGAUGUGAAAUACCCGAGCUCAACUUGGGUGCUGCAUUUCAAACUGGAUAUCUAGAGUGCAGGAGAGGAAAGCGGAAUUCCUAGUGUAGCGGUGAAAUGCGUAGAGAUUAGGAAGAACACCAGUGGCGAAGGCGGCUUCUGGACUGUAACUGACGCUG
rnacentral:rRNA from 1 species